CAAAGACCAAUCAUCCCACUUGCCCCUGAUCACACGGCCGCUGCCCACAGCACACGCCCAUCCUACCAGAGGCAGCACCGUGACGGCUGGAAAGUUCUGGGUGGUGACCCAGGACAUGCAAGGCUGACACACAGGAAACUCUGCACCAGCUCUGCCCCAGAGCGUCCCCCGUGGUCCUCACGUUGGCGCCUGGGGCGGGCGGCAGACCAGCCCUCACUUCACAGAAACGGAGGCCUCCGCCUUGGGCCCCGGGACACACGGGGCUCCCCGGUGACUUCAGAGAGGGUCUCAGACGAGUUUCAGGCAUGGCCUGGGCAGCGCAAAGCUGCUUGCUCCACACGACAGGUGACAGGUGACACGCACAGAGGUCUCGGGCAGACCUUUCUCUCAGAAAAGCUACGACGCAUAAUCUUCCCCAAGAUACCACUUUGCACCCGUGAGACCAGCGAGGAAAACAAAGGCCGUGAGCGCUACAUUAGCUCAGUCAUUCCCCACGCGGUGGGUACUCCUGAGGCCACGUGGCAAAACUCUCAAAACAACAAGGGCAGGCACGCUCCUACCCAAUGGCGGGUCUACUGCCACCACUCGCGUUGGAAAAAGAAAAGGAAUACGGCCAAGACCAUGUGUGCACAUGCAGACAUAGAAUAUUCUGGAAGGCGACGCAAGGAAGCAGUGACCAUGGCUGGCUCCAAGCAGGUGGUCAGAAUGGAGGUAAGGGCAGACUUACUCUUUACUACAUAUCCUUUUUUUUUUUUUAAGUUCAUUUAUUUAUUUAUGGGGGGGGGG